rnacentral:rRNA from 1 species
GACGAACGCUGGCGGCAUGCCUAAUACAUGCAAGUCGAGCGAACAGAUGAAGUGCUUGCACUUCUGACGUUAGCGGCGAACGGGUGAGUAACACGUAAGGAAUCUACCUAUAAGCGGGGGAUAACAUUCGGAAACGGGUGCUAAUACCGCAUAAUAUCUUCUUCCGCAUGGAAGAAGAUUGAAAGACGGCUCUGCUGUCACUUAUAGAUGACCUUGCGGUGCAUUAGUUAGUUGGUGGGGUAAUGGCCUACCAAGACGAUGAUGCAUAGCCGACCUGGGAGGGUGAUCGGCACCAUUGGGACGAGGACACGGCCCAAACUCCUACGGGAGGCAGCAGUAGGGAAUCUUCCGCAAUGGGCUAAAGCCUGACGGAGCAAUGCCGCGUGAGUGAAGAAGGCCUCCGGGUCGUAAAACUCUGUUAUAAGAGAAGAACAAAUUGUAGAGUAACUGCUACAGUCUUGACGGUAUCUUAUCAGAAAGCCACGGCUAACUACGUGCCAGCAGCCGCCGUAA